rnacentral:pre_miRNA from 1 species
AAUAAAUGCAGCUGUGAAAAUCCAUGUCCAAUGUUUGACCGUCCAUCUUAUUUGAAAAAUUUAUAAUUUUUUUUUAAAAAAUUAGUCACACAUAAAGUAUUAUUCAUGUUUUAUCAUCUAAUAACAAUAAAAAUAAUAAUCAUAAAAAAUUUUCAAAUAAGACAAACGGUCAAACGUUGGAGAUGAAUAGUGCAAAACUUAUU